ACGGAACCUCUGGGUAUUGGAUUGGUGCUUGCAUCAUGAUUUACAUUUGAGUGAGUGGCGAACUGGUGAGUAACACGUGGGAAACCUGCCCAGAAGCGGGGGAUAACACCUGGAAACAGAUGCUAAUACCGCAUAACAACUUGGACCGCAUGGUCCGAGUUUGAAAGAUGGCUUCGGCUAUCACUUUUGGAUGGUCCCGCGGCGUAUUAGCUAGAUGGUGGGGUAACGGCUCACCAUGGCAAUGAUACGUAGCCGACCUGAGAGGGUAAUCGGCCACAUUGGGACUGAGACACGGCCCAAACUCCUACGGGAGGCAGCAGUAGGGAAUCUUCCACAAUGGACGAAAGUCUGAUGGAGCAACGCCGCGUGAGUGAAGAAGGGUUUCGGCUCGUAAAACUCUGUUGUUAAAGAAGAACAUAUCUGAGAGUAACUGUUCAGGUAUUGACGGUAUUUAACCAGAAAGCCACGGCUAACUACGUGCCAGCAGCCGCGGUAAUACGUAGGUGGCAAGCGUUGUCCGGAUUUAUUGGGCGUAAAGCGAGCGCAGGCGGUUUUUUAAGUCUGAUGUGAAAGCCUUCGGCUCAACCGAAGAAGUGCAUCGGAAACUGGGAAACUUGAGUGCAGAAGAGGACAGUGGAACUCCAUGUGUAGCGGUGAAAUGCGUAGAUAUAUGGAAGAACACCAGUGGCGAAGGCGGCUGUCUGGUCUGUAACUGACGCUGAGGCUCGAAAGUAUGGGUAGCAAACAGGAUUAGAUACCCUGGUAGUCCAUACCGUAAACGAUGAAUGCUAAGUGUUGGAGGGUUUCCGCCCUUCAGUGCUGCAGCUAACGCAUUAAGCAUUCCGCCUGGGGAGUACGGCCGCAAGGCUGAAACUCAAAGGAAUUGACGGGGGCCCGCACAAGCGGUGGAGCAUGUGGUUUAAUUCGAAGCUACGCGAAGAACCUUACCAGGUCUUGACAUACUAUGCAAAUCUAAGAGAUUAGACGUUCCCUUCGGGGACAUGGAUACAGGUGGUGCAUGGUUGUCGUCAGCUCGUGUCGUGAGAUGUUGGGUUAAGUCCCGCAACGAGCGCAACCCUUAUUAUCAGUUGCCAGCAUUAAGUUGGGCACUCUGGUGAGACUGCCGGUGACAAACCGGAGGAAGGUGGGGAUGACGUCAAAUCAUCAUGCCCCUUAUGACCUGGGCUACACACGUGCUACAAUGGAUGGUACAACGAGUUGCGAACUCGCGAGAGUAAGCUAAUCUCUUAAAGCCAUUCUCAGUUCGGAUUGUAGGCUGCAACUCGCCUACAUGAAGUCGGAAUCGCUAGUAAUCGCGGAUCAGCAUGCCGCGGUGAAUACGUUCCCGGGCCUUGUACACACCGCCCGUCACACCAUGAGAGUUUGUAACAACCCAAAAAAGGUUUGG
rnacentral:rRNA from 1 species